CGGUGAACGAGUGGCAAGGGGCGCGGGUAAGACGGAGGGGGCGUGGGUUAAGGGGAAUUAGCGGGCGUAAAGCGUGUGCAGGGGGUUAUGUAAGACAGAGGUGAAAUCCCCGGGCUCAACCUGGGAACGGCCUUGGGGAGGGCAGGGCUAGAGUGCGGCAGAGGGGGAUGGAAUUGCGCGUGUAGCAGUGAAAUGCGUAGAUAUGCGGAGGAACACCGAUGGCGAAGGCAAUCCCCUGGGCCUGCACUGACGCUCAUGCACGAAAGCGUGGGGAGCAAACAGGAUUAGAUACCCGGUAGC
rnacentral:rRNA from 1 species